rnacentral:sRNA from 1 species
AGCUAUUUACAGCUUUUAAGCAAUUUUCUGUUGGUUUUAGUCUCUUCUAAGAGAAAAUGGGUAUAAGUGUUGUCUAAACACUCCUAAUCUAUCUCUAACUCAUAGAAUUAGUCAAAUGCUUUGGAUUGUGAUAAAAUUUGACCAUAGAAACAAUAACAAAGCUAUUUAGUGUUUUUAAGCAAUUUUUUAUUGGUUUUAUACUCUAUUGGGAGAAAAUAGGUAUGAGUAUUGUCUAAACACUCCUAAUCCAUCUUUAACUCUUCUAAUUAGUCAAAUGCAAUGGAUUCUGACACAUUUUCACCAUAGAAACACUAACAAAGAUAUUGACUACUUCUAAGCAAUUUUUUGUUGGUUUUAGCAUCUUCUGGGAGAAAAUAGGUAUAAGUGUUGUCUAAACACUCCUAAUCCAUAUUUAACGCUUAUAAUUAGUCAAAUACAUUAGAUUGUAACACAUUUUGACCAUAGAAAUACUAACAAAGCUAUUGACCGCUUCUAAGCAAUUUUUUGUUGGUUUUAGUCUCUUUUGGGAGAAAAUGGGUGUAAGUAUUGUCUGAACACUCCUAAUCUAUCUCUAACUCUUAUAAUUAGUCAAAUGCUUUGGAUUAUGACAAACUUUGACCAUAGAAACCCUAACAAAGCUAUUGACUGUUUCUAAGCAAUUUUUUGUUGGUUUUAGCCUCUUUUGGGAGAAAAUGAGUGUAAGUGUUGUCUGAACACUCCUAAUCUAUCUCUAUCUCAUAUAAUUAGUCAAAUGCUUUGGAUUCUGACAAAAUUUGACCAUAGAAACAAUAACAAAGCUAUUUAGUACUUCUAAGCAAUAUUUUGUUGGUUUUAGCCUCUUCUGGGUGAAAAUAGGUAUAAGUAUUGUCUAAACACUCCUAAUCCAUCUCUAACUCUUAUUAUUAUUCAAAUACAUAUG